CCUAGAGAACAGAGCAAAUCUGGUCAUGAUGGCUAGAACUUCCCUUCAAUGCCCUUGCUGAACAGCUCUUGUGCCCAAGACAGGUGAAAGGCUUUUUCUCAUGGUCCGGAGAAUCGAAUGGAUGUGCAGGUGGUGCUGCCGUUGCUGAUGUGCGGACUGAUUUCGUGCCACAGAGCCAAACAAACGAUUCUGCUGCGCGCCUGCCCCGUACCGAUCAGGAAGCAGUCGUGCCGAGGAUCGGAGCCCUUACUCUGUCGGCGGAGGGAUGAAGGGAAGAUGAAUGGAUCACCCUUGACUCCGAGGUAACAUCGCAGAGGGAAUGACCAUGAAGCCCGACAAUCUCCUCGGGAUCCUGCUUGUAUCGUAUCCUCUCCUCAAGGACCAUCCAAGGGCUCCACACUUCUUUCUGUGACUAAAGGGACCACUGCAACUCUGGGGAAGGGUAGAGCCCAGGGAUCUGAAUUUUAAUAACCCACUGAGGGUGGCCACAGAUGUUCGAAAGCCACCGCUUGAUGCCCUCCUGCCCUGGGUUGGGGCGAUAAGGAAUCUCCCCCUUUGGGGAGCAUUUUCUUCGUGUUCUGAGAAAAGAGACCAUGGCUUCCAGGUGAUAUUUGAGGAUAAGGGAAACAAAUCUAGAGUGAAGGAAGACAGAUAACGCCAGCACCAUUCGCUGAGCCCUAACUCGGAGCCAGGCACUGAGCUAAGAGCUUCUCAGUGAUGACUGUUCUGAUUCUCACUCACAACAGCCUUGCCCUGCAGAUACGGCCAUUAUCCUGACUUGACAGAGGAACACCCAGCUUUUGGGAGAUGAAGUCACUGGCCCGAGGCCACCCAGGUGUUCAAACUCACAUCUGCCCACCUCACAGCCCACACUUUUACCCCUGCUGUUGCUGAAGCUCAGGAGAAGUCAGUGGAAGAUUCAUUGAGGUAAUGCACUUGAGUUUAAUCUUGAAGACAAAGUUGGUAAGAAAGGAGAGAGGAAGAAAGUGAACUGGGCAGACACAGUCUGAAGUUCCAACUCCUUGUCACACACUACAGGGGCCCCGUCUCUGCCCCUCCCUUGCUCACGCUGUCUCU